AGCGAACGCUGGCGGCAGGCCUAACACAUGCAAGUCGAACGAACCUUUCGGGGUUAGUGGCGGACGGGUGAGUAACACGUGGGAACGUGCCUUUAGGUUCGGAAUAACUCAGGGAAACUUGUGCUAAUACCGAAUGUGCCCUUCGGGGGAAAGAUUAAUCGCCUUUAGAGCGGCCCGCGUCUGAUUAGCUAGUUGGUUGAGGUAAUGGCUCACCAAGGCGACGAUCAGUAGCUGGUCGGAGAGGAUGAUCAGCCACAUUGGGACUGAGACACGGCCCAAACUCGUACGGGAGGCAGCAGUGGGGAAUCUUGCGGAAUGGGCGAAAGUCUGACGCAGCCAUGCCGCGUGAAUGAUGAAGGUCUUAGGAUUGUAAAAUUCUUUCACCGGGGACGAUAAUGACGGUACCCGGAGAAGAAGCCCCGGCUAACUUCGUG
rnacentral:rRNA from 1 species